rnacentral:rRNA from 1 species
CUACGGGGUGCUCCAGUGAGGAAUAUUGCACAAUGGGGGGAACCCUGAUGCAGCAACGCCGCGUGGAGGAUGACGCAUUUCGGUGUGUAAACUCCUUUUAUAUGUCAAGAAAAUGACGGUAGCAUAUGAAUAAGCGCCGGCUAACUCCGUGUCAGCAGCCGCGGUAAUACGGAGGGCGCAAGCGUUACUCGGAAUCACUGGGCGUAAAGGACGCGUAGGCGGGUUGAAAAGUCAGGUGUGAAAGCCUACAGCUUAACUGUAGAACUGCACUUGAAACUCUCAACCUAGAGUAUGGGAGGGGCAGAUGGAAUUAGUGGUGUAGGGGUAAAAUCCGUAGAUAUCACUAGGAAUACCUAAAGCGAAGGCGAUCUGCUGGAACAUUACUGACGCUAAGGCGUGAAGGCGUGGGGAGCAAACAGGAUUAGAUACCCGCGUAGUC